GCUUUUAUGAGCUGUAACACUCACCGCGAAGGUCCGCAGCUUCACUCCUGAAGCCAGCGAGACCACGAGCCUACUGGGAGGAACGAACAACUCCCGACGCGCCGCCUUAAGAGCUGUAACACUCACCGCGAAGGUCUGCAGCUUCACUCCUGAGCCAGCGAGACCACGAACCCACCAGAAGGAAAAAACUCCGAACACAUCUGAACAUCAGAAGCAACAAACUCCGGACACGCCGCCUUUAAGAACUGUAACACUCACUGCGAGGGUCCGCGGCUUCAUUCUUGAAGUGAGUGAGACCAAGAACCCACCAGUUCUGGACACAAUUUCAAGUCCUCAGGUGCCAUCAAUAUUCUGAAAAUGGCAGUGAUUUUUAUUCAACCUGUAUAAGGCACUUUCACCAUGUACCUGGAAGCAACAUCUACAUCUUUUUCAGCAAUCUAGAUGCUGGGGACACAAGGUCCACCUUCCAGGAAUAUGGCCAUGACACCAGAAAUCACAAACAUGAUGAGAAUGGAAUGACUGGGGAAGAAGUGCCAGAUGCUUCACUUGUAAAUGAAGACCCAGCCUCUGGGGAUGCAGAUACCACCUCCCUGAAGAAGCUGAAUAUCUGCAGAUAAGUGGAGUUCACCAAUGAUGAGGAGCGGGAUGGAGAAAGGAGGUAGGGAGAGUCAUCCAAGGAACAUGAGCAACAUGUUAAAAGCCAAGUGGUUUAAUUUCUGGAGAUGGUGAACCCAAGAGGCUCUGCUGGGAGACAACAAAAAUAAUGAAGAAUUGAACCAGAGUCCGGUGAAUAUCAGCACUGGGACCAGUUAGCAGAGGAAAAGGAAAGAAUAAAAGCGAAAAGAAUGAAGAGUCAUAUGAUUACCAACUUUUCCUUUUUCAUAUAAAUUGAGUGUAUAUGGGUCUGGAACAACCUGAAUUUCCAUCAAGUCCUGGCUAACCUCAUUAUGUCCUAUGAAUAUUUUUGACUAAUCCCACUUUACAUUAAUCUGUAUUGUGAAUGUGGAUAUUGAAUUAUAUUUCUUUGUAAUCCCAUUAUCCAAAAUCCAGUUCAGAGACUAUUAGUUACCAAUGUUCACUGUGAAGGAAAAAAAAAAAAAAAAAGCUCAGAGGAUAAACAUGUGAUAUGGUUUGGCUGUGUCCCCACCCAAAUAUCAUCUUGAAUUGUAGCUCCCAUAAUUCCCACGUGUUGUGGGAGGGACCCGGUGGGAGAUAAUUGUAUCAUGGGGGUGGUUCCCCCAUACUAUUCUCAUAGUAGUGAAUAAGUCUCACAAAAUCUGAUGGUUUUAUGAGGGAAAACCCCUUUCACCUGGUUCUCAUUCUCUUCUCUGGUCUGUCGUCAUGUAAGACAUGCCUUUCACCUUCUCCACCAUGACUGUGAGGCCUCCCCAGCCACGUGGAACUGUGAGCCCAUUAAACCUCUUUCACUUAUAAAU
rnacentral:lncRNA from 1 species